AAAUUGAAGAGUUUGAUCAUGGCUCAGAUUGAACGCUGGCGGCAGGCCUAACACAUGCAAGUCGAACGGUAACAGGAAACAGCUUGCUGUUUCGCUGACGAGUGGCGAACGGGUGAGUAAUGUCUGGGAAACUGCCUGAUGGAGGGGGAUAACUACUGGAAACGGUAGCUAAUACCGCAUAACGUCGCAAGACCAAAGAGGGGGACCCUCGGGCCUCUUGCCAUCGGAUGUGCCCAGAUGGGAUUAGCUUGUUGGUGGGGUAACGGCUCACCAAGGCGACGAUCCCUAGCUGGUCUGAGAGGAUGACCAGCCACACUGGAACUGAGACACGGUCCAGACUCCUACGGGAGGCAGCAGUGGGGAAUAUUGCACAAUGGGCGCAAGCCUGAUGCAGCCAUGCCGCGUGUAUGAAGAAGGCCUUCGGGUUGUAAAGUACUUUCAGCGGGGAGGAAGGGAGUAAAGUUAAUACCUUUGCUCAUUGACGUUA
rnacentral:rRNA from 1 species